GAGUACAGCCAGGAUCCAGAAUUGUAUAAGACAUCAAAGUAUGCUUUUCUUCAGAGUAAGCUUUAAAAAACAAUAAAUAUAUAGAAAAUCGAUGCAAAUUACAAUUUCCUACGAUUAUUGUUAUUGGAUAUAUCAAUAUUGGAUAAUCAAGGAUACAUGAAGAAAAUAAUUAAUUCUUCGCAGCAUUUCUUUAGCCCUCCAUGAUCAGCCUGUUUGAGCCCUCACAAGCCUCAGGACUGUCACCAGGACCCUGCAGCUCAGAAAUAUCCUCAGAACUUUAAGGAAGAAUUUCCAAUGUGGCAGAAAAUCAAAGUGGUGUCUUGGACAAGUCCUUGCCUGAAAGGCAAAGCAAGGCUCAGGUAACAAGUCGAACAAAGAAACUGCAACCCAGAAACAACUUUCUGCCCCUCUGCUUUCAAGUUCAUCUCCACAAGCUCUCAGUUGCAGAACAGUUGGAGCACAGAUGCAGAAACAGAAGACCACCUUUGAUUUUCCCCAAAUAAAACAACUUUAAAUCAAAA